rnacentral:tRNA from 1 species
GCCCUGGUGGCACAAUGGUUAAAGCACUUGGCUGCUACCCAAAAGAUGGUGGUUCAAACCCACUCAACAGCU